CCUACGGGAGGCAGCAGUGAGGAAUAUUGGUCAAUGGACGAGAGUCUGAACCAGCCAAGUAGCGUGAAGGAUGACUGCCCUAUGGGUUGUAAACUUCUUUUAUAAAGGAAUAAAACGAGGCACGUGUGCCUUUUUGCAUGUACUUUAUGAAUAAGGAUCGGCUAACUCCGUGCCAGCCGCCGCGGUAAUACGGAGGAUCCGAGCGUUAUCCGGAUUUAUUGGGUUUAAAGGUAGCGUAGAUGGGUUGUUAAGUCAGUUGUGAAAGUUUGCGGCGCAACCGUAAAAUUGCAAUUGAUACUGGCAGUCUUGAGUACAGUUGAGGUAGGCGGAAUUCGUGGUGUAGCGGUGAAAUGCUUAGAUAUCACGAAGAACCCCGAUUGCGAAGGCAGCUUACUAAACUGUGACUGACAUUGAUGCUCGAAAGUGUGGGUAUCAAACAGGAUUAGAUACCCUAGUAGUC
rnacentral:rRNA from 1 species